rnacentral:rRNA from 1 species
UGGGGAAUUUUGGACAAUGGGCGAAAGCCUGAUCCAGCAAUGCCGCGUGUGUGAAGAAGGCCUUCGGGUUGUAAAGCACUUUUGUCCGGAAAGAAAUGGCUCUGGUUAAUACCUGGGGUCGAUGACGGUACCGGAAGAAUAAGGACCGGCUAACUACGUGCCAGCAGCCGCGGUAAUACGUAGGGUCCAAGCGUUAAUCGGAAUUACUGGGCGUAAAGCGUGCGCAGGCGGUUGUGCAAGACCGAUGUGAAAUCCCCGAGCUUAACUUGGGAAUUGCAUUGGUGACUGCACGGCUAGAGUGUGUCAGAGGGGGGUAGAAUUCCACGUGUAGCAGUGAAUGCGUAGAGAUGUGGAGGAAUACCGAUGGCGAAGGCAGCCCCCUGGGAUAACACUGACGCUCAUGCACGAAAGCGUGGGGAGCAAACAGG